UCGGAUUGUAGUCUGNAACCCGACUACAUGAAGCUGGAAUCGCUAGUAAUCGCGGAUCAGAAUGCCGCGGUGAAUACGUUCCCGGGUCUUGUACACACCGCCCGUCACACCAUGGGAGUCGGAAAUGCCCGAAGUCUGUGACCCAACCGCGAGGAGGGAGCAGCCGAAGGCAGGUCGGAUGACUGGGGUGAAGUCGUAACAAGGUAGC
rnacentral:rRNA from 1 species